UAGAAGUAGCCGUCACGUGGCACAACAACAGGAAGUGGCUUAUGUGGAAACUGAACGGCUCAAACUUGGCCAAAUAUGUAAAUAAUAACGUACUAGAGCGUAAAUUUUGCAUGGUUUUAUGAUUUUAUUUCAACAGGACAAAUGGGUUUACGUGUUUUGUGGAUAAUUUCUCACGAAGGGGGAGAAAAUGCAUCCAUUCGCUUCUCAAGGAGGUUUCCUACAGUGGAGCACCGUGCUAGAAGCUUGUCUGGCUCUUCCUAUGUAGCAGUCCCAGAGGACAGUCUGAUCCUCCAGCCUCUGCUCACAGAGUUGGGAAUUUCCAGCUCUAACAAGUCAUAUGUGGCUCAAAGAGAUGAUUGCAUUUACCGUCCCCGAUCACCAGCUCUGGAGCUGCGUCUGGAUGGAGAGAAAACUCUUUGGCCUGUACUGAACAUCUCUCAGGGGUCCCUCAUUCUGGCUUGCUUGCCCUUAGUGGAUGUCCCCUCUGAAACUCGGCCACCUCUGUCCAGUUUGUUGUCAGUGUCCCAGGGUCUCACACUCCUGGCAGGGCUGCAAACAUUUCUUCUUGGCUCAGGAGGUAAACCUUAUGGCGAUGGGCUCAUCUCUCGUCUGGAAAUGUUGCCCUCUGCCCUCCUGCAGGUUUGUCCACUUGGCACGCCCCUUGAUGUACCACUUGUGGGAGUACCCACUACACCAGCAGUGCCCAUCCCCGCUGGCACCCAGAAGCAGCCAGCCUGGAAGACGGGCCUACACCGCGGCCGAGCCAUGGUGAAUGUAGCGGUGACUGAAACGGUGCGCUCUAUGCAGUACGGUAACCAGAGCAGGCAGGACUUGUGGGAUGUUUAUGGCACUGUCACAUGCAAAUGUGAAGUUGAAGGCGUGCUCCCAAAUGUGACAGUGACCCUGUCCCUGCCUCCCAAUGGCUCUCCACUGCAGGACAUCCUGGUUCAUCCCUGUGUGACCUCACUGGACUCUAGUAUCUUGACUUCCAGCAGUGUUGAUAAUCUGGACGGCUCCGCUUUCUCUGGUCCUUAUAAGUUCCCCUUCUCUCCUCCUCUGGAGCCCUUCCGACUCUGCAGCUACACUUCUCAGGUCCCUGUUCCCCCCAUCCUAGGUUUGUAUCAGCUGAAGGAAGAAGACAACCAGCUGCGUCUCACAGCAUCUCUCAAACUCCAUGAAACUGUGAAGAACAACUUUGAAUACUGUGAGGCUCACCUGCCUUUGUUCAACAGGAAUCAAAUGGGGGGUGCGGAUGUGAAGGUAAGCUUUGGACAAGUAGACGUGUCGAAAGAGAAGAACCUGCUGGUCUGGGCUUUGGGUAUGUACCAGAUUCUACAGCCUCAGGCCAAAAGUUCCCAAAGUCUCGCGAGGUUUCGCUGGAGGCUAAGAUCAAUUUUUCUGGGCAGUCACCGGGACCUUGUGACCCUCUCUGCACAGGACUCACUGCCUACAUUAAGUUACAUUUUAAAGUGCCUGACAUGACGCUGUCUGGGUGCAGCGUGGAUCAGCAUUCGGUUCAAGUGUAUUCCUCCUCCAAACCUCGGAUUGCAACAUCUCGCGAACUUCUUUGCAAAGAGUACUACAUAUGGAAUUCAACAGGUGCUGCCCCGGUGUCCGGCGCACAGAUGACCACGUAGAAGACACCGGCUCAGUGGGAUUCAUGAGACUGAGAUCCCCGCUGAGCAUUUAUUAUCAGGGCGGGAAUUUAUUGAGGUUAAAGUGAACUGAAGUCGUUUUUAAAAUGGGGCAAAUUAAGGAUGGAAGAUUGUUGAGGAGGGAUCUCCAUUCACGCCCUUUUAGUUCAGCUCUUUUCCUCCAACUUUCCAUCAGAUUUGCAGACACAAGGCAACCCUUUGCUCCAACAGUCCCACCUGAGCGACUCUCCAUCAGCCGUAUAAUGAGCAGCUGGGACCUUGUCAUCAGCUGCUGCAGGCCUGGAGGAGAGGCCGGCUGGACUGUGAAAGCCCAGGCUUCUCUGGCCACUAUCUUGACUACAAAAGGUUUCUUAGCUACUCCAAUCACCCCUCCACCACACACACCUCUUUUGCCUCCUCCUUUUUUGGCCUGUCAGCUGGUGGCUCGUUCGAUCAGACAACCUCUCCAUGCAGACUGAUUGAGCUCUGACCCUUUGGCCCUCUGAGACUUAAAAGCAACCGGUCCCUUUCAGUGAGUCGGACCUGCCUAAUUGGUGAAAAAGUCACAAGAACGGUAAUGGUUGAGUUCCUGUCAGAGGUUGUAGGAGGCCGUUAGAUCAUUUAAUGUAGAACUCUGGGUUUAACUGUUUAUUAGCUUGAUGUACAGAAAUCUCAAGAACUAUUUGUUUUAAGCUCUUUCUACCAUUUAUAACUAACGCGAGUUGCUCUUUGACGUGUUUACAACAAACAGGCUUCAUCUGAGUUUAUGAAGCUGAAUGAUUAACAGGCUGAGGAAGGGUUAGAUCAGAGAAGAUUGAGCCCCACGUUUCCACAGCAGCCAGACGCCUCUGAGUGGCCUCAUUGUCUUGCCGUUGGCCUCUUGUGCCCGUCGCUGGUCCAAAUGCUACAUUCUCACGUGGAUUUCCACUCAGAAGGCCGACCAUGACCAAUCCUUAGUCAAUUGGAACCAAUUGCUCACACGGCAUCCUUCACCUUCUUUUAUGUAGCAGUACGGAGUGGCAGACACCGAGACCUCAUGGGUCCCCCUCAGCCCAACACAAUAAUUUGGCUUUAAGGUCCAGUGUGUGUGGCUAGCGAACCGGAAAAGAAGACGUUUUUUUUUUUUUUUUUUGAUGAGUUGGGUCACUCUAAAUCUCGUGUCGCUGUAUGUGGUCAGUCUGGCUCCUCAAGUCAGCAAUCAGUGGCCUCUUUCUGGCAGAGCGUCAUUUGUAGGUCCAAUUGCUCACCAAGUAUCAUUUUAGAGUGUAUCUCUGCCUUAGUGCCUUCAAGCCAAACAUUCGGGCAGUAAUUAUCUUGUUUCUAAUGAUUAUUUUAUUGCAUCACUGUUUGAUCUUCUAUAUGUGGAACACGUGCGUUCUCCAGUGAUCAAAAUUAAAGUCAAAUGGGUCAAAAUCAAAUUGUGGUUUGUGACAAAUAAUUUUAGAAAACCAUGAAAUUGCAUGUUUAUGUUCAAACAUGAUGUGACUUUUAUCUACUUUCAGCACAAUAAUGACAUCCAGUGGCUGAACAAUAACAUUCAAUUAUGAUUAUCUUGAUUUCUUUAACAAAUGUAAAUGUUCAGAAUUUCAGACUGAAUAAAGUUCCUCUGCUGCA